CGGGGGAUCUUCGGACCUCGCGCCAUUAGAUGAGCCUAGGUCGGAUUAGCUAGUUUGGUGAGGUAAUGGCUCACCAAGGCGACGAUCCGUAACUGGUCUGAGAGGAUGAUCAGUCACACUGGAACUGAGACACCGGUCCAGACUCCUACGGGAGGCAGCAGUGGGGAAUAUUGGACAACUGGGCGAAAGCCUGAUCCAGCCAUGCCGCCGUGUGUGAAGAAGGUCUUCGGAUUGUAAAGCACUUUAAGUUGGGAGGAAGGGUAGUAACCUAAUACGUUGCUACUUUGACGUUACCGACAGAAUAAGCACCGGCUAACUUCGUG
rnacentral:rRNA from 1 species